AUUGAACGCUGGCGGCAGGCUUAACACAUGCAAGUCGAACGAUGAUUAUCUAGCUUGCUAGAUAUGAUUAGUGGCGGACGGGUGAGUAACAUUUAGGAAUCUGCCUAGUAGUGGGGGAUAGCUCGGGGAAACUCGAAUUAAUACCGCAUACGACCUACGGGUGAAAGGGGGCGCAAGCUCUUGCUAUUAGAUGAGCCUAAAUCAGAUUAGCUAGUUGGUGGGGUAAAGGCCUACCAAGGCGACGAUCUGUAACUGGUCUGAGAGGAUGAUCAGUCACACCGGAACUGAGACACGGUCCGGACUCCUACGGGAGGCAGCAGUGGGGAAUAUUGGACAAUGGGGGCAACCCUGAUCCAGCCAUGCCGCGUGUGUGAAGAAGGCCUUUUGGUCGUAAAGCACUUUAAGCAGGGAGGAGAGGCUAAUGGUUAAUACCCAUUAGAUUAGACGUUACCUGCAGAAUAAGCACCGGCUAACUCUGUGCCAGCAGCCGCGGUAAUACAGAGGGUGCGAGCGUUAAUCGGAAUUACUGGGCGUAAAGCGAGUGUAGGUGGCUCAUUAAGUCACAUGUGAAAUCCCCGGGCUUAACCUGGGAACUGCAUGUGAUACUGGUGGUGCUAGAAUAUGUGAGAGGGAAGUAGAAUUCCAGGUGUAGCGGUGAAAUGCGUAGAGAUCUGGAGGAAUACCGAUGGCGAAGGCAGCUUCCUGGCAUAAUAUUGACACUGAGAUUCGAAAGCGUGGGUAGCAAACAGGAUUAGAUACCCUGGUAGUCCACGCCGUAAACGAUGUCUACUAGCCGUUGGGGUCCUUGAGACUUUAGUGGCGCAGUUAACGCGAUAAGUAGACCGCCUGGGGAGUACGGCCGCAAGGUUAAAACUCAAAUGAAUUGACGGGGGCCCGCACAAGCGGUGGAGCAUGUGGUUUAAUUCGAUGCAACGCGAAGAACCUUACCUGGUCUUGACAUAGUGAGAAUCCUGCAGAGAUGCGGGAGUGCCUUCGGGAAUUCACAUACAGGUGCUGCAUGGCUGUCGUCAGCUCGUGUCGUGAGAUGUUGGGUUAAGUCCCGCAACGAGCGCAACCCUUUUCCUUAUUUGCCAGCGGGUUAAGCCGGGAACUUUAAGGAUACUGCCAGUGACAAACUGGAGGAAGGCGGGGACGACGUCAAGUCAUCAUGGCCCUUACGACCAGGGCUACACACGUGCUACAAUGGUAGGUACAGAGGGUUGCUACACAGCGAUGUGAUGCUAAUCUCAAAAAGCCUAUCGUAGUCCGGAUUGGAGUCUGCAACUCGACUCCAUGAAGUCGGAAUCGCUAGUAAUCGCAGAUCAGAAUGCUGCGGUGAAUACGUUCCCGGGCCU
rnacentral:rRNA from 1 species